AUGAUCGUCCGAGACCAAACAGGAAAAAUCGAAGUGCCAACAACUGAAGUGAAGAAACAAGAGAUACCUGCAUGCAGAGUAGUACUGAGGAAAGCGAUCAAGUUUGAGGUACUAAAGUUAGUUCAGGAGUCAGACUGCUGUUGGAGUGACAAUAAUUCAAGGACUCAUGCCAAUGGGACUGUCUUGUUGAUGGUUGUGGUAUGGAGAAUUCUCUCCAAAAAGGACAGACCCAGUGCUAGAAGCUGCACCCUGCAGUGCAGGGAGGUGGCGUCGAACCCAGGACCUCUUGGCACAAGUGGGGAGUACUUCACCACUGCGCCAGGCCCCUCCUAG
rnacentral:rRNA from 1 species